UACAGAGGGUGCGAGCGUUGUUCGGAAUUAUUGGGCGUAAAGGGCGCGUAGGCGGUGCGGUAAGUCACCUGUGAAAUCUCCUGGCUCAACUGGGAGCUUGCAGGCGAAACUGCCGUGCUGGAGUGUGGGAGAGGUGCGUGGAAUUCCUGGUGUAGAGGUGAAAUUCGUAGAUAUUAGGAGGAACACCGGUGGCGAAGGCGGCUAUCUGGACGAUUACUGACGCUCUGGCACGAAAGUGUGGGGAUCAAACAGG
rnacentral:rRNA from 1 species